UUUAGGGCCGUGACCACAGAGGCUAAGCGACGGCUACCGUCAGUGUUCGUGGAGAGGUGAAGUCAGACUUCUGCUGGCUGCCCCGUGUACCACAAGGCUGAGUCCUCCCACGCAGACAGGUGCGAACAUUGCAAAGAUUUGCUAAAUACUGAAUACCUACAGAGCCGUGGAUUAGAGAAGCAAGAAAGUGAUGCCAGGCAGUCCUGGAAAACAAAUACUGCAUGAGAGUGUUUUCAAAGGAGGAUAUUAUGGUUAUGUGGCAAUAUUAAAAAUGAGGAGAAGUUCAUCGCUUCACUCAACAAAUAUUCACUAUGUUCUGCUCCGUGGCAUGAACUGGGCCUGGGACAGCAGAAGUGGAGGAGACUGGCCUGGCUUCAGCCUUCAGGAAUCAUAUAGUCUGUGGAGACAAAGAGUGAUGUCUGUACAACAGAAAGGAAGAGAAAGUUUAGGAGAGCACAGAUGGAGGCAGAGGGGACAUGCACAUUUCCCAGAGGGACAAAAGUGAACCUGAAGGUCCAAAGGAUGGAUGCGAGCAAUGCAAAGUGUGCUGUGGGGGUUUUGGAGAGCAUUCCAGACACAGGAAGAACAGAAGGGCCACCCUCUAGGGACCAGUGGUCUGCACAGAGCACAGAGGUGCCAGCAGAGCAGUGCUCAGUGCUCCUUACCCAGUGCUCCUCGAACUUCGCUGUGAAUGCAAACCAUCUGGGAAUCGUGUGAAAAGGCAGAUGUGGAUCCAGUAGGUCUGCCGUGGGGUCUGAGAUUCUGCAUUUCUAACAAGCACCUAGGCGCUUCUGUUGCUCUCUGGCUGGGACCACACUUUGAAUAGGAAGUCCUUGAAGAGCCAGGAAAGGCCCCAGACCAGUUGGCUUCCAAGCCACGAGCAACUUUGUCCCUUUAUUCCAGUGUGCCAUGCAAAUAUUACAUGUUUUUCUGCUGACAGGGAAAAACUUAGGAAGCAGUGUUGUAGAAGACAAUGACAUAAUGCAUUUCAAUAUACUUUCAAAGGCAACAACAUUAAUUGGAUUGGCCAGGGAUCUGGCGUACUGGGUUAGAUCUUCCUUAUUUUUAAAGCUAAUAGCUUUGAGGGUCGUAUUUUAAACUAGGUACCAUGUAAAUUUGUCUUCUCUCACUUAUAGGAACUUGUAUUUUUUAUAGUAUUAGCAGAAAGUUCUCCUUGUUUUCUUUUCUUUGAUGGGGAGCAAAUAAAGUGUCCUGGGGAGUCUGUCUUCACAUUUGCCAGGGGUCCUGUGAAGCAGAAUUCUACAACUACAUGCCUAUCCUAAUUCCACAUGGGCAGAGCCACACUCAUUCUGUUCAGCAUGACAUCAUUCACUGGAGCAUUCUACGUCGCACAGUCAUAUUUGUUGGGUGGAUUAGCUUUCCAUGCAAUGGAUUAAUCAUCCUCUGGGGUUCUUUAACCUUUUCCUUUGAGAAGGUGGAUUUUGGUUUCCCUUGUGUUCGGCAUCAUGGGCCAACGAAUGCAAAUGAUCAUGUGGCUCUCUUGCCAUUGGAACUCCUGUGGAUCGGUGGCUCUCAAGCUUUCGUGUGCUUCUCAGUUACGUUAGGAACUUGGUUGAAAUACAGUUUCCUGGUCUUAUUCGUGGAGAACAUGAGUUAGUCAAUUCAGGGCAUGGUCCAGCAACCCUUAUUUUAUUUUUUUCAAGCUCCAAAUUGCUUCUUGACAGGUGGACUCUAGACCACCCUUUGAGAAACGCUGCUUCAGUGGGCCACAGUACAUGAACGUGGCCCAGGAGUAACUGUUGGGAACGUUCCAUAAUACUCAGAGCAUCCUGUAAGGAGACAUGAAGGCUCUGAGUCGUAAGAAGUUGUGAGGCUAAGAAUGGUCACUGUUAGUCAUGAUGCACUAAGAGACGUGAGCUUUUUGUCCCAGGUUUCCAGUUUGAGCUUAGGUUUUCAAUUUAAUUUCUUUCAUUAGGGGUUUUUCUUUUC